rnacentral:rRNA from 1 species
AUGCCUGCUCACAAUGGUGGAAGGCAAAGUCAGAUGAGAAUCAGAUGCAGAAGCAGUUGGGAAAUGCUCCCACUGCGCGGGAUCAAAAGCAACAACACGUUAUCCAUUUGCAUUCAAAGUUGGUGUGACAACGACGUUCAAAGUGCUGCUAUUGUUUUGCACCCACCAUUAGGACAGCCAAAUAUAGUGUUCUUCCAUGUUCUAUAUUGCACUCCCAUCGGUCCUUUUUACUCUGUAUAUAAAAUUUGUCUGGAGUCAAGCUUGGUAAUGUUUGAUCAACUUUAUAUAAUAAAUAUUAACAUUCACAAUACGAAAUCAAUAUAA